rnacentral:rRNA from 1 species
GGCGACACGGGGGAAACCCUAGAUCGAGGCGCCGCUCCUCCCUUUCCUCCCUUCCCUCGGCUCGCCGCUGCCGGAGGAGCGGCCGGCGAAGUCCGUGCCGGCUCCUGUGAAGGUGGCGGCGGGGCCCUUUCCUGUUCUUCGUCCACGAGCUUGGCGCGGCGGCUGCCGGACGGCGCGGGCGCGGCUGCUGCCUUGGAUGGCGCGGGACGGGGCCAAGGUGGCGCGGGGGCUCGCGCGCUAGCGACGGCCCUGGGCGACGCGGUGGCCCUGGA